UCUCUGUCAGGCCACAACACCAGACUUGGCACCAGUCUACAAUGCAUCACACUAAUGCAGUGUUUGAAGAGCUUUGAAACAGUGGUUGAGUCAAUGUCAAAAUAAAAAGCCAAAAACUCAAAGGACAAGUUCAUUCUAAGCUUAAUUAAAGUUAACAUGUACUGCUGAAAACAUGUUAAACUAGAUUUAAGUUGGAGAAAAGGAGCCACAAUAUGAAAAAUUGUCAUGAGAAUGGAGAAUGCUGAUAAACCAGUGAGAGUAUGAACCCUUUUAUCAUCGUUAUGCAAGCUCAUCUCAUUCAGUGUAGUCCUAUUCAUUUUUUCCUUCAACAACAUAUUUUCAGUCCUCAGAGCUUGGCAUUCUUGCUCAAGAGAUUGGACGCGUUUACCACAGGUUUCAGUGGUGCAUGGUGGGGUUGCUGGAUCCUCCUCAUGGAGAACAGGCUGGACAUCGUUUCCAGGUUCUUCAUGGGUAGAUUCCUUCAAAGGCUCUGUGGUGGGACUUUGCUCUGCAGUAGGAUCCUUGUUGCAGUCUUGGGGACAAUCUGUUGAUGCUCUGGUGAAAACAAAAGUAGUAUAAACUGUCACUACUGAUGACAGUUUGUCAUUCUUUUGUCAGUCACUCUCUGUUUUCUGCAGUAUACUAGCUUUCGUUAGUAAGAAAGUAAGUAAAUUGUAUUUGUAUAGCACAUUUACAUCCAAAAGUGCUUUAUAGUCGGUAUAUGAUAAAUAAACAAUGUAAUAAAAUAAAUGAAUAGAAAGACAAUGACAGGGAUAUUGACAAUGACAGUGACAAUCACAUGCAUAGUCAGUGGCUGCCAAAUGCAAGUCGGUAUAGGUGUGUGAUGAUUUCAGCCCAGUCACAGAUGUUAUGUUUUUUAGCUCAUUGGGUGUUAUUAAACCUACAAUGAAUUGUACAAAAAAAAAUUGGUUUAUAAUUUUCCCAAGUCCAUGGAAGUGGGGUUGACCAGGUUAAGGAACUUAAAUAUUCACCUGGGAGGGAUGGCUUUCGCAGAUAGCUUUGUCUGCUCCAUCUUCUGUAGCUUUGCUCCCUGUCGUCUGUUGAAAACCUCCAGUCUCAUUUUUCUUUUCCUCUUCUCUGGAGAUGGAACGUAGUUGAAAAGAGAUGGAACAAAGUCCGGACUCAAGGGAUUAUCACUCCUUCUCCCUACAAAAUAAAUAGAAACAUUUCAGCGUCGAACUUGGGUUUGUUUACUACUACGUUAGCACUUGCUAGCUUAGCAGCAUAAAAAACAGGACAUUGUCAGCCCCACGAAUUGCAUGCUAUAAAUCAACUAGCUAUGUGUGUGUGUGUGUGUGUGUGUGUGUGUGUGUGUGUGUGUGUGUGUGUGUGUGUGUGUGUGUGUGUGUGUGUGUGUGUGUGUGUGUGUGUGUGUGUGUGUGUGUGUGUGUGUGUGUGUGUGUGUGGUGAGGGGGUACUUACAGGGGGGCCGGGAAGUCCAGGUUGGCCUUUCAUUCCCAUCAUUCCCUGGAGAUAGAGGAAAGAAAUCAAAGGUCAAACAACAGCAAUGUCCAACACCAGUGGCUGUGCAUGUUGUGGGCUGUGAGUAAGAUAUGCCGCUGAGGACAGAAUGCUAUACAACAGAAAGGGUUUUGUGUUAUAAAACCACACUUACAGUAGUCCAGAAAUGUGUGGAAGUAUUUCUUUGACGAUGAGUCCAUUGACUGGACUGAAAGCUAAGGUGAGAAUGCAUGCCAUAAAGUGGCAUAAAUCCCAGAACUCCAUGGGAAUAAUCCAUGGAUUGGGAAUGACAGUGAACACUGUAGCGGAAACCUAUUUGACAGGUGUGCUCUGACAUGGAAAGGUCUUCAGACUUCGAUGGGUUCUUAGUGGUAGUUCUGUGUGGUGAUGUGUAUGUGUGAAUACAUAGUGUUAUUGUUGGAGAGUUACCACAAAACUGCAGGUGUGUGUGUCUCAGAGUUUGUGCAUGUGUGUGUGUGUGUGUGUGUGUGUGUGUGUGUGUGUGUGUGUGUGUGUGUGUGUGUGUGUGUCUGAGUUUGUAUGUGUGGGUGUGUGUGUGUGUGUGUGUCUGAGUUUGUAUGUGUGUGUGUGUGUGUGUGUGUGUGUGUGUGUGUGUGUGUGUGUGUGUGUGUGUGUGUGUGUGUGUGUGUGUGUGUGUGUGUUCACCAUGGGGCCGGGACCAAUAUCAGCGCCUUUGUUGUGAUCAUACUGAGCAGCAAAGUUCUGUUGGAGUGAAAAAUAAAAACCAGAAUAAGAGACAAAAUAUACAUAUAAAAAUUCAUACAAUACAAUAUACUUAUUUUCUAAAUCAUAGGUUAUUGUCUGUUCCAUUGCUAUAAUUGUGCCAGAAUUUGGGUCAGGUGAGUUUAAGGGCUUGAUCGUUUAUCAAACAGAUGAACAGCAAAUCAGCAUCUUCCUGUAGCUUCUAUACCUUACGGUUACAAUAGGAUAUACCAGCCGGUUAACCUUAUUUACUGAGAGGCCUUCAUCAACAUUCAGUUCCCCCACCUAGGAACACUUUAGAACCAACAUCCAUCUUCAGUUCCCCCACCCAGCAGCACUUUAGAACCAACAUCCACCUUCAGUCCCCCACACAGUCACAUUUUAGAACCAACAUCCACCUUCAGUCCCCCCACCCAGCAGUUGACCAAGUCGGCCCCUAUAGGAUACUUACUCUGCCGAGGCCAGGGGGUCCUGGGGGCCCAGCAGGGCCGGGGUUGCCAGGUCUGCCGUCCCUCCCGUCAGGGCCCUGGGGUCCCUGUGGAGGAAGGCCUUGGGUUAGUCUCCGUUGAUUACCACUGAUUGACACACAGCCACCGUGUCUGCUGGGACGCUGCCAGAGUCCCAGCUCUGUUCGGCUGUGGAGCUCGGUUUGGUCUCAACUUGAAUAAAAGCGUCAUGUCCUUUUACUAAAUUGUUUUAUUAUUGUUAAUAAAGUUUAGAAAAGAUAAAUAUGAAUUUGUUCUGGAUAUGUGAGCCAAAGUCAGAAAAAAAUAAUAUACAACAAAUAUUUGUAGUUCAGGUUAUUUUCAGCCGUCGUGCAGCAGAGAUUGGUCCAUUAUUAUUUGUUAUAUUAUCACGGCGGAGGGCUUUAGGCUGUGCCUGAUGUAAACAAAGGGGUGUGGCCUAUUCAAGUUGAAAGGUCAAUCGGCGUCAUCAUAUAUCAACCCGAUAAACUUCAUGAAAGUUUCUAUCCAGCAAACAUGGCAUUGUCAUGCAUCUUGUCAUAAUUAAUGAGUUUGAUAGUGGCUUACCCUUUCACCUCUUGGUCCUUUCGGGCCCUGAGGAAUAUAAGUAAACAAUUGAUGAGUCAGAGGCAGACAUUAUUUAAACAGUGAGGCAAGUUCACGUAAAAAAAGGAAGGUAGACUUAAACUUAACAUAUCUAAAAUCUAAAACCUAAAAGAAGCUCGGCUACAAUCGCUGGGGGAUGAAUAGGUGCAUGUGGACAAACUGUGCAUGUGAACUGCACAGCCAAAGCACCAUUCAGGUGGGAACAUAUUUCAGUCCUCUUCAUUGAACCUGGCCUUUGGCUAGAGCUGAUGCCUACAAUGUCUGCCCUGAGCUAUGCUACGCAUUAUCACAUACACCACACUCAAAGGGCUAAAUGACACAUCCAACCAGGGUUUGAUUGCUCACUUUGAAUCUUCCCUGAGUAGAAAUAGAAGCUAAAUAAAUAGUGUUAUUUAUUUCUUUGUGUCAUUUAACUGUGCUGGCUGUAUCAUGCACUGUUCAGCAUUGCUGUUCAUCUAUCUCAUUGCACAUCAACCCAUUAACAUGCAGGGGAUUUAUGAUGCUGUACAUGUCCAUGCAGAAGCACAGCCUCAUAAAGCUGCUCCCAGAUCACUGUGCACACUGUAGUAUUAAACUGAUCCGAAACCACAAUCAGGGGCGUAUCAAGCUUUCCAAAAGUGGGGGUGUUCUGGAAUAGGCGAAGAAAUAAUCAUUCCAAAUAGCGAUGAUCAAUUAUAUGAACUUUUACAUACAUCUAGGCCUACAAAAUGGAAGAAAUGCGAGCAGAUACACUGUGUGUGUGUGUGUGUGUGUGUGUGUAUGACUCAUUGUGUGUUUGUUUGAUACACGCACACACACACACACACACACACACACACACACACACACACACACACACACACACACACACACACACACACACACACACACACACACACACACACACACACACACACACACACACUGUGUGAUAAAGCUGAAAGGAGCUUCAGCAGCCUCUGAAGGCUGAAAACAUGGAUGCGAAGUACAAUGACACAAACAUGUCUCAACAGUGUAACCGUGUGUUAUGUUCAAAAGCACAAGCUGGAUCUGUUGGACAGGAAAAUGAUUGCAGAACAAUUAGUUUGUCAUAAUGAGCAGAGACAAAACACAUUUGUAAAGCCACUUGAGGCUGUUGCAUGAAUGUUCAAUAACUGUAGCUCUAAUGACAUUUGGCUAGAGCGUUUGUUACUUGUAUGUAGUGAUGUUAUUAUGUAGUGACACACAGAGUGCAGGCUGUCAAACCAGUGGUCAAGUUCAACUUCAAAUGUUCUCCAUUUCAUGCUGAGACCUAUCUAUGAUCUAUGUAUAAUGUUGGGCUUAUGUGUUUAUGGUGUGGUAUUACUGAUUAUACAGUAGCCUAACUGAAAAUAAAACGUGUCUGAUCGAAUGGAACGCACUUGCAUGCUUCUAAUGUUCUAAGAAAACAAGAUGAACCCUUGACACACACUGUUGAGGACAUUUCACGUUCAAGUGUGCUGAGAAAGCGAAUCGCACAAUUCUCCGGAUUUUCGUGUAUCACAGCAUUCAUUCACAUUCAUUAAACCAGUAGGCCUAAGUUGAUUGCUGUGACACAUACUUUGUGUAUAUUUUCAGUGAUACACCUUGUAGAUUGAAGUGCGUUUUCUCAAGGUUUGAAAAUGACGAAUCGCACGAGGAUCUCUACUCUCCGUAAAGGCUACCUGUAGCCCUAGUCAAACCUGUGCAUCCCAACCGCGGUAGCACUCGAAACAGAUAGCCUAUAGCUUGCAACUUGCAAGCACGUCAGUGUCUGCAGAGGGAGAGAAGUCAACUUACUUGUUUUCUCUUGAAAAAGCCGUCUAUAGUCCCCUGUCUUUUUCUUUUAGUUUUCGGCAUCAUUGGCUAUAUUGCACGAAAAAAUAAAACAGUUUUAAAACUAAAGUAGGCUUAGUUCCCGUCGGAAGAAUGAAUGGGAUCUUAUGCUAGGAGGUAACUAGCUCUUGAAUAGAGAGCCAUGAACCUUGCAUCUAUUAAUGACAAAUAAUUAAUCGCUUAAUCGCUUUAAUCGCUUAAUAUGCCUGAAAAUGUUGCCUUCAUUACAGGCAGUGAAUGAUGCUGAUCUAAAACAGUGAUUCAAUUCUACCUUUUCAUUGAAGGCGUCAAGUCAGUAUGCAGCACGAACAGUUAGGCACAGCAAUCUGUGAGAAACUGCUUGAAUGACCGCGGUCACCGCGCUGAGCUCUCAGGCAGUCGGGUCUCGGGAGCACCGCUGCCAGCGCUUUCUGCAGGCUGCGCGAGCUGUUUAGUCUACGUAACGUCAAUUGUAGCGCUGGGAUUUACAGAGUGAUCAUUUGAUACAGAGGGAUGCAAUCAUAGCAACCAUUUUAAAUUGCAUACAACAGGCGAACGUUUACUGUUUUUUAUUAGAAAAGCUGAUUUUUGUGAGGAUUUGACGAACAAAAGUGGAGGGGAUGGAAUGGCCUUCCAAUAGAAGUGAGGGGGAUGCAUCGUACUCAUCCCCCGCGUCUGAUACGCGCCUGACCACAAUUAUAGCCUAUUAAAUAAUGACGCUAAGCUGCCAAGCUUUGUAUUCUGUAACUUACCUGAUAUGAAGUGAUCGCUGCACAAGCGGAAUCCAACAGCCGGGGGGUCCCAUUUUUCAGUCUUUUUUUGCUUGCUCCUGGCUCUUUUAAUGGCGCUGAUCCACUUAGCUCGCCUCUCCGCAUCUUUAGGAAUGCGGUAGAACGACGUACAUUUAUUUUUGCCUCGUUUAUUUGUGCAACCUGGUGCACAACAGUUAUCGACCAUGUCUGCUCCACCACAAGAGCGCCAGUCUGCCGAAUACUGCCAAAAUGGUGGUGCCCACGUUUUCCCCGCCCCAACAACGUCAACACCCGGAACUCUAUUGCAGCCAAUGAGCUCGAGUUGACCCUGCUUAGCCUCCGAGAUCAGACGAGAUCGCGCGUGCUCAGGGUGGUAUGGCCGUAAGCAAUUAUUGUCUUGUCCAUACUAACUUUUAUACAGGAGGAACCCAUAAUGAGUGGGAGCGCUGCUGUGGCCAGAGACGGGACUUGUACAGAAACAAUAAUUUGAUCCAUAAUGAAUGAAAGAAAUGAAUGAAUGAAUGAAUGACUACGUUAUUCCAGACUCAGAGUUCCACAUCUGAAUGUAAUGCAUUACACUGCUUGGGCGUGAUCGUUUGCGUGAUCUUUUGAAUAAACGUAGCGUUGCAAAACGUGGGAUGGACGGCAUUAGUCAGCGCGAUGAAGCCAUUCAUAGCUAUUAUUUCUUUAGAACAACAUGAUCAGGGGAGAGCGCGAACGCAGUCCCCCACUACCAGAAAUUAUGCAAUCGAGAUUCCCACAUUUGGGGAAUUCGCACGGGUCAGCAACAGCCUCAGUGCAAUGGCUGAGCCUCGCUAUGGGUGAACCACCUUCUUGAUCGUGGUAUCUCCCUUGCCAGGUAAGUAUGAGUUGUACACGUUCAGGUGGGCUGAACGAUGCCCACGCUUGUUCCCGUGGAGAACGGUUGCAAAGCAUUCGGAGAUGUCUAGACUUUAAUAAACACUGUAGACCACCGGUCACACGAUGACAGGCGAAUCUGAAAUCAGCGUGAUGGAAGCAUAACGAAAGGAAACCUGGAGAUCCGAGUUAUCGACCCGCCACAGAAAGAAUCCUUUUUUCUUUCUUAAACAACAGAAUAUCGUUGGAAUAAUUGUAAACAGUGCGUUUAUGAAUUGUAAAUGACACUUUAUUGUCUACAGGCGGACGGGUGUACUCUCAGGUAGUGAUGUUAUGGUUUGCGUCGAGGCAUCGGGGCGUGUGUCGAGUACCUCGGCUCCUCCCCCAGCGAAGCUCCGUAUCACAUAGGCGAAAUGACGUGGCGCGUGACGUUCGAGGCUUCAUCUCGGGCUGUUGCGCGAUAUGGGUUCACAAUUGGCACAUUUUUACAAAAAGAAGACCCUACCCAGUUCCAAGAUCACUUUUAUGGCUAUGUAAUUAAUCACACUCAUUCUCAGUCAUCAUGCAGUUCUAUUAUUACAAUUAUUAGUAGGCUACUGAGACAAUCUAUUUUGCCCGGGAUGACUUAAAAUCUAGGUCAAAUGAUUUGUUCUCUACCAUGAGCUCGGGAGAUAUUUAUGAACGGCAAACUCACACGUAUCACUGAAAUGACUUUAAUUCUUAAACGUUGUGAUGUUGUAGGCUACGAAGCAAACAUCACAUCAUCACAGGAAACUCUUUCUUUCAUCAUAAUUUAAUUCACCACUAGGUGUCCCUAGCGUACUAAUUUGAAGCUUCGAGGUCGAACCACUUUGAUGGUUCAUCUGGCUGCGAGGCUUUGACGUUUCAUGAGGCAUCAUCUCGGCACCACUACUCUCUGGACUCAGGAGGAGUUUAGUUUUGUUUUUCACAGUGAGAGAGGGGUGCACCGGUCCUGGAGGUACUGCAAUACCAGGUCGAUGCGUGGAGUGGACGGAGCAAGCCCCUUUUCCAUCUCCCAGUUCCAAAAAUCAAUUUAAUAUAUGGUCCCCGGGUAGGGGACGUAUCAGAUAUUAAACUGAUAAGAACAGAUACUACACUUGAUCUUAGCCAAAAGGCCGAGAAGCGAUGCCUCCACAGGCUCAGACCAAGAGGCCAGCUUCCCAGACACGUCGCUCCACUUGGCGGUUUAACAGACAACGACAAAACAAAAAAAAGACCAAGCACCCUGUGUGCGUGUUUGUGUGUAUGUGAAAGCUGAAGAAAUAAACCGAGGUCGCUACAUCUCUUUGCUGCUGCCUGCUGGCAGUCUCACUAGGCCGUCUGCAUGUUUCACAAAUAGAGUGUGGAGCAGUGGAGGCUUCUAUAAGACUACAGGUGAAGCAGUGCUUCACCAAAAAAAUGUUAAAAAAUAAAUAAACCAAAAAUCUUACAACAAUCCCAUUUUCAGUGCUUUGAAACAGAAAUACUCACGAAGACGAGCUGUUUUCCUGAAAUCAAUUAUGUGAGUCACAACAGCGCCACUAUUCCCAUUGACUUCAAUGUAAAUCGAGUGAACCCCAGGCGGCUCGUGUUUAUUUUCCGUUUCAAUUGAUCCUUAUGGCAGAUAAGUCCCACCCGUGAACCAGUGACCGAUAGGGUAGAAUUUUGCACUUCAGUCACUUGACACAACACUCUGGCCAGUCACCGCCUUCAUUGGACAGCUAUCGUGAACUGACUACGAGUGAAAGCAGAGGGCAGACCAAAACCUACUGUGAAAACCACACAGCUCGUUGGUGCUACGUUGGGGAUGUCAACACGAGGACUUGGCAAGGAAAUACUAUGAAAUGCGUCAUCGCCUCUCACACACGAAUGUCAUGGUAGGAACAGCUGGAUUCAGGAUUUCACCCCUGCAUUGGGGCCUCACCUGAUGGAUACGUUUCCUGUAGCUGCUGUGGUUCAGGUGUCAUAGAAAUUAAGUGCCCAUUUUCUGCAAAGGACCUUUCUGUUAAUUAGGCAGUAAAGUGUUUUUCUGCACAGAAACCAGCACCAGCAGCAGCAGCAUUUGCUGAUCAUAGUCAACAACAGUGGUGCUACUGCCCUGAGCCAGAAGCAGGGAACAUGGUGGUCUGUGCGUCAGGUUUUUGUUCAGUUAAAAAGUUUCACCAGACCUGCCUUCGCAUGAAAAGGGUCCCAAAACAGUGGGUAUGUCCCAUCUGCCGAAAAGUGAUCAAUGCCCAAAGAAGAAAACCUUAGUGAGGAGACUGUGAAAUGAGUUGUUUGUAGUAGCUGAUACUGUACUGUUAUUUAUGAAUAAACAGUUGUUAAACCAAUAUUGUUCUCUUCCCCAUAAUUUGUAUUAGAUAUCUGUAGCAAUCAGGGAUAUGAAACAUGGGUGGGUCAUUCAUAUAAAACACACCAGAACAAAUAUCUGUUUGGGUGGAACUCAAGUUAGAAUGGGUGGAUGUGCAGCUUGAUCUGCAAAGAGAAACGAUGUGAUCGCAUCAGAAUAGCGAGUGAUUAAAAAUAAUGUCACGACAAGCAAGCAAGAAGUGUGAGUCACAAAGGUUUAUUUGCUGGUUGAGCACAUCUGUAGCCAGUCACAUCAGUUCAAUUUACUGUACAUCCCCAUCACUGGAAGGACACCACAGAUUCAGACACAUUUGUAAGUGCACAACACACGCUCACCAUCUUGUCAAGGUAGGCCACAUCAUUUUCCCUGUCUAUGUCCGUGAAACAUAUGGGGACAGUGCUUUGCAAGACUGUGUACUUUUGACGGAGAACUCCUAUCACUCUUUCAAUAUGUAUCCUAAGAGAGGCUAGACGUCUGGUGUUCUCCAAGUCAGCAGGAUCUAACUGCUUCUAUCCACGAGUAAAUGCUGGAAUUUUUAAUUCAGCUUGGCAUCUCUCAAUGGACUCUUUAACCAGACAACCUCUGUCCGCUAAAACUACGUCCCCUGGGAGCAAAUGAGAUAAAAAGUGACUUUGUUCUGUGAUAAACGUAUCACUUGUGCGACCUCCCCAUCCAGCGGAAAUGAAACAAAUGGAACCUCGAGGGCAAAUUGCAAUUAAAUAUUUCAUUGUGUGGUGUGAUUUGUAUGAUGAGUAACACUGAGCACUGGCUAGCAAUCUACUGGGUUUCUCUAGAAAUAUUUCAAAACAAUCUAUAAUGCAAACUGUCUUUUCAAAGCUACGGUUUCGAAAUGCAUAUGGAAGAGAUUUUCUUAAGUAUUCUCUGUCAGGCCACAACACCAGACUUGGCACCAGUCUACAAUGCAUCACACUAAUGCAGUGUUUGAAGAGCUUUGAAACAGUGGUUGAGUCAAUGUCAAAAUAAAAAGCCAAAAACUCAAAGGACAAGUUCAUUCUAAGCUUAAUUAAAGUUAACAUGUACUGCUGAAAACAUGUUAAACUAGAUUUAAGUUGGAGAAAAGGAGCCACAAUAUGAAAAAUUGUCAUGAGAA